AACGAACGCUGGCGGCAUGCCUAACACAUGCAAGUCGAACGAGACCUUCGGGUCUAGUGGCGCACGGGUGCGUAACGCGUGGGAACCUGCCCUUAGGUUCGGAAUAACUCCCCGAAAGGGGUGCUAAUACCGGAUAAUGUCUUCGGACCAAAGAUUUAUCGCCUUUGGAUGGGCCCGCGUUGGAUUAGCUAGUUGUUAGGGUAAAAGCCUACCACGGCGACGAUCCAUAGCUGGUCUGAGAGGAUGAUCAGCCACACUGGGACUGAGACACGGCCCAGACUCCUACGGGAGGCAGCAGUGGGGAAUAUUGGACAAUGGGCGAAAGCCUGAUCCAGCAAGGACGCGUGAGUGAUGAAGGCCUUAGGGUUGUAAAGCUCUUUUACCCGGGAUGAUAAUGACAGUACCGGGAGAAUAAGCUCCGGCUAACUCCGUG
rnacentral:rRNA from 1 species